rnacentral:misc_RNA from 1 species
AACGCACCUUGCGCCCUCUGGUAUUCCGGAGAGCAUGCCUGUUUGAGUGUCAUGUAGACUCAAUCCCUCGGGUUUCCGAGGAGAUUGGACUUGGGUGUUGCCGCUUUGCCGGCUCGCCUUAAAAGACUUAGCGGGAUAGCACCGUAGCUGGCGUAAUAAGUUUCGUCGGUGAAGGUUGUGAUGACUGCUUACAAUCGCCCUCGGGCAAUUUUUGACUCUGACCUCAAAUCAGGUAGGACUACCCGCUGAACUUAA